CUCCUGAGCUCAGGUGCUCUCCCCACCUGGGUCUCCCAAAGUGCUGGGAUUAUAGGCGUGAGCCACGACACCCGGCUCUGGGUCAGGUUUUUAAACGGCACUGUCCUCGGUAUCUCAAUGUUAAGAUGACUGGUGAUUUCAUGAGUUAAACGUGCCAAGCGCUUAGAAGUGUGUCAGCACAUUGUGACACUCAACAAACUUCAUUAGUGUUUCCACCAGUCUGCUGCCUGAACCGGCCAAGAGGACCACCUGCAUCCCUGCGCACAGUACAGAGAGCUCAGAGUUGAGGAAGGUGUGGGCCCGGUUUGCUAUGGGGGCAGUGAGGGGUGAGAAGAGGCCCUGGGGAAACUCUGGAGUGCUUAUUGAGUAUUUUGUGCCACCCCGGGAAUAAAGAGAUCAAGAAGACCCAGCCCUGGAAGCAAGAAGACAGGCAGAGAGGCGAAGGAGUGGGCUCCCGAUAAGAGGAUGAAUUCAGCCCUCCUUCCUCUUCUUUCACGUGUUCUCUUGCCCUUCCACCCUCCACCAUGGGAUGACACACCAAGAAGGCCUUCACCAGAUGUGGGCCCUUGACCUUGGACUUCCCAGCCUCCAGAACUAAGGAGAAACCAACUCCAAGUUCUUAUUGGAAUAUUUACAGGGUACUGGAGGGGCUCACAGUAUUAAGGAGAAGACUCCGGCAGCCUCUGAAAGAAAGAAAACUAGGGAAGCUCUGGAAACACCAAUAAACGACCUCUGUCUAGGA
rnacentral:lncRNA from 1 species